GACGAGCCACACGAACGUUAUUCGGAAUUACUGGGCGUAAAGGGCUCGUAGGUGGCCAACUAAGUCAGACGUGAAAUCCCUCGGCUUAACCGGGGAACUGCGUCUGAUACUGGAUGGCUUGAGUUCGGGAGAGGGAUGCGGAAUUCCAGGUGUAGCGGUGAAAUGCGUAGAUAUCUGGAGGAACACCGGUGGCGAAGGCGGCAUCCUGGACCGACACUGACACUGAGGAGCGAAAGCCAGGGGAGCAAACGGG
rnacentral:rRNA from 1 species